CAACUCAUUUGUGUAUCUCUUCCGCCUGUGUGAUUUAGAACAGAGAGGGAGAGGAAUAGAGAUGCCCAACUCGGCGGAAAGAUGUCUCCUUUCACACAAGGUGCACCUGUGUAAUGAUCAUGCUGUUUAAUCAGCUUCUUGAUAUGCCACACCUGUUUGGUGGAUGGAUGAUCUUGGCAGAGUUAAAAUGCUCACAAACAGGUAUGUAAACAGAUUUGUGCACAACAUUUGAGAGAAAUAAGCUAACUGUGCAUAUCGAAAAGUUCAGAGACUUUUAAUUUCAGCUCAUGAAACAUGGGACCAGGACUUUACAUGUUGCAUUUAUAUUUUUGUUCAGUGUAAAUGGUAUUGAUUGAGGCUACCGGUACUCUUCAAGUGAUUGUUAGUGAUAUAGCACCAUCUUGUGGUACAUUUUCACACUGGCAACUUCACAGAGUUUGUCAUAUUCAUUAGGGAAAAGUUGAAUGCCUUUAUUAUGUUGUUACCUUCUAUAAUUAUUUGUUAUGCAUUAUAUGUUUAAGGGGUAAUCUGCAGUUGCUACAGAUGUAGGAUCUUAAUUUGAUCAUUAUUUCGUUGUGAGCAUAUUCAUGCACAGAAGGAUUCUUUAAACUUGAGUUUUAAAACGGCUUCUAAAGUUAGUCAUUUCCAGUUAGAAAUAUCAGACUUGAUUUGCCCUAAGAAAAAUCUAUCAACCCCAACAAAAAAUGUCUGUUAAUUAUCCUUCCUGUUUGGCCCUGUCCGGGGGUGUCCUCGGAUGGGGCCACAGUGUCUCCUGACCCCUCCUGUCUCAGCCUCCAGUAUUUAUGCUGCAGUAGUUUAUGUGUCGGGGGGCUAGGGUCAGUUUGUUAUAUCUGGAGUACUUCUCCUGUCCUAUUCGGUGUCCUGUGUGAAUCUAAGUGUGCGUUCUCUAAUUCUCUCCUUCUCUCUUUCUUUCUCUCUCUCGGAGGACCUGAGCCCUAGGACCAUGCCCCAGGACUACCUGACAUGAUGACUCCUUGCUGUCCCCAGUCCACCUGGCCGUGCUGCUGCUCCAGUUUCAACUGUUCUGCCUUAUUAUUAUUCGACCAUGCUGGUCAUUUAUGAACAUUUGAACAUCUUGGCCAUGUUCUGUUAUAAUCUCCACCCAGCACAGCCAGAAGAGGACUGGCCACCCCACAUAUGCUCUCUCUAAUUCUCUCUUUCUUUCUCUCUCUCGGAGGACCUGAGCCCUAGGACCAUGCCCCAGGACUACCUGACAUGAUGACUCCUUGCUGUCCCCAGUCCACCUGGCCGUGCUGCUGCUCCAGUUUCACCUGUUCUGCCUUAUUAUUAUACGACCAUGCUGGUCAUUUAUGAACAUUUGAACAUCUUGGCCAUGUUCUGUUAUAAUCUCCACCCAGCACAGCCAGAAGAGGACUGGCCACCCCACAUAGCCUGGUUCCUCUCUAGGUUUCUUCCUAGGUUUUGGCCUUUCUAGGGAGUUUUUCCUAGCCACCGUGCUUCUACACCUGCAUUGCUUGCUGUUUGGGGUUUUAGGCUGGGUUUCUGUACAGCACUUUGAGAUAUCAGCUGAUGUACGAAGGGCUAUAUAAAUACAUUUGAUUUGAUUUGAUUUUGAUUUGAAUUAUAAUCCACAUAAUUCACAUUUCUUGUUGCUACAGGAUUAUUUUCAUGCUGUAUCAAACUGGCUCAAAUUGAGAUCCUACAUCCAUUUGUGUAUUUAUAAAUGAUUGAUACAGUGCCUUCAGAAAGUAUUCCCACCCCUUGACUUUUUCAACAUUUUGUUGUGUUACAGCCUGAAUUUAAAAUGGAUUAAAUUGAG
ensembl:lncRNA